rnacentral:rRNA from 1 species
GUUUGAUCCUGGCUCAGAAUCAACGCUGGCGGCGUGCCUAACACAUGCAAGUCGCACGAGAAAGUGGAGCAAUCCAUGAGUACAGUGGCGCACGGGUGAGUAACACGUGAAUCAUCUACCUCCGAGUGGGGAAUAACCUAGAGAAAUCUGGGCUAAUACCGCAUAACACUUACGAGUCAAAGCAGCAAUGCGCUUGGAGAGGAGUUCGCGGCCGAUUAGUUAGUUGGCGGGGUAAUGGCCCACCAAGACGAUGAUCGGUAUCCGGCCUGAGAGGGCGCACGGGCACACUGGAACUGAAACACGGUCCAGACUCCUACGGGAGGCAGCAGUGGGGAAUUUUGCGCAAUGGGGGAAACCCUGACGCAGCAACGCCGCGUGGGGGAUGAAAUCCCUUGGGAUGUAAA